rnacentral:rRNA from 1 species
UUCCGGUUGAUCCUGCCAGAGGUCACUGCUAUCNGGGUUCGAUUAAGCCAUGCGAGUCGAGAGGGUUCGGCCCUCGGCGUACUGCUCAGUAACACGUGGAUAACCUGCCCUAGGGGAGGGGAUAACCCCGGGAAACUGGGGAUAAUACCCUAUAGGUUACAGAUGCUGGAAUGCCCUGUAACCAAAAGCUCCGGCGCCCUAGGAUGGAUCUGCGGCCGAUUAGGUUGUUGUUGGGGUAACGGCCCAACAAGCCCGUAAUCGGUACGGGUUGUGGGAGCAAGAGCCCGGAGUUGGAUUCUGAGACACGAAUCCAGGCCCUACGGGGCGCAGCAGGCGCGAAACCUUUACAAUGCGGGCAACCGUGAUAAGGGAACCUCGAGUGCCUGUAAACGCAGGCUGUUCAGGUGUUUAAAACGCACCUGGAGAAAGGGCCGGGCAAGACCGGUGCCAGCCGCCGCGGUAAUACCGGCGGCUCGAGUGGUGGCCGCUUUUAUUGGGCUUAAAGCGUUCGUAGCUGGGUUGUUAAGUCUCUUGGGAAAUCUGGCGGCUUAACCGUCAGGCGUCUAAGGGAUACUGGCAAUCUUGGAACCGGGAGAGGUGAGGGGUACUUCGGGGGUAGGGGUGAAAUCCUGUAAUCCUCGAGGGACCACCUGUGGCGAAGGCGCCUCACCAGAACGGCUUCGACAGUGAGGGACGAAAGCUGGGGGAGCAAACCGGAUUAGAUACCCGGGUAGUCCCAGCCGUAAACGAUGCGCGUUAGGUGUAUCGGUGACCACGAGUUACCGAGGUGCCGAAGGAAACCGUGAAACGCGCCGCCUGGGAAGUACGGUCGCAAGGCUGGAACUUAAAGGAAUUGGCGGGG